UGCCCAAUGCGGGAAUCGAACCCGGGUCGUAGUGGUUGAAAACCAACGGUUUAGACCAUACUUCCACCAACCC
rnacentral:tRNA from 1 species